AGAGGAUGACAAAAAAAUUGUAAUGUGCGUCACUCGAUCCAUUUUCUGCAUGAAGUAAUUGCAUGAUAGCUAAUGUUCUUAUAAUACAGUUAUUCAUGGUUUGGUAAUAUUGGAAGAAAAGAAAAGCUACAUAAUUAGUUUAUUUUAAACAAUUAAUAGGGCUAAGUCUAUAUAUGAUGCUUAUUGCCACUAGGAAAUAUGAAUACUAUUCUCUCUUUCU
rnacentral:misc_RNA from 1 species